rnacentral:rRNA from 1 species
UACGUAGGGUGCGAGCGUUGUCCGGAAUUAUUGGGCGUAAAGGGCUCGUAGGCGGUUUGUCGCGUCGGGAGUGAAAACCACGGGCUUAACUCGGGGCUUGCUUUCGAUACGGGCAGACUAGAGGUAUGCAGGGGAGAACGGAAUUCCUGGUGUAGCGGUGAAAUGCGCAGAUAUCAGGAGGAACACCGGUGGCGAAGGCGGUUCUCUGGGCAUGAUCUGACGCUGAGGAGCGAAAGUGUGGGGAGCGAACAGG